CGGGGGAGUGCAGGGCCGUCAUGACGAUGACCCCGGGGGGCAGGGAGAGGCCGCCCAGCGCCGGGAUGGCCGAGAAGAUGCUCUACCUGAAUAGUUCAGAUAUUUCCAGCAUCUUUUCUGAUGCAGGGCUAUCAGAAACGCUCACUCGUGGGGCUACGUCUAGUUUCCAGAGUCUGCCCAACCUACCGAGUGCAAAAACUUCGUCUUCUCCCAACGUCGUGCACUGAAAGCGGGCUUUAUGUAAACAAAUCCAGAUGAAGGGAGCGUAAAUCUACA